CCUACGGGGCGCUGCAGUGGGGAAUAUUGCGCAAUGGGCGAAAGCCUGACGCAGCGACGCCGCGUGAGGGAUGAAGGUCUUCGGAUCGUAAACCUCUGUCAGCAGGGAAGAACGGUCACUGUGCUAAUCAGCAGUGAAUUGACGGUACCUGCAAAGGAAGCACCGGCUAACUCCGUGCCAGCAGCCGCGGUAAUACGGAGGGUGCGAGCGUUAAUCGGAAUUACUGGGCGUAAAGCGCUCGUAGGCGGUAUGUCAAGUCAAGGGUGAAAUCCCCGCGCUCAACGUGGGAACUGCCUUUGAAACUGGCAAACUGGAGUGUGUGAGAGGAUAGUGGAAUUCCAGGUGUAGGAGUGAAAGCCGUAGAUAUCUGGAGGAACAUCAGUGGAGAAGGCGACUAUCUGGCACAUAACUGACGCUGAGGAGCGAAAGCGUGGGUAGCAAACAGGAUUAGAUACCCCAGUAGUC
rnacentral:rRNA from 1 species